GCCACCGGUCGAAGCCUCCGGUAUACGUCGUUGGCCAAAGAGUGUGGCUUUCUACUAAGAACAUUCCACUCCGAUCCGUUUCGAACAAGCUUGCCCCAAAAUUUAUCGGCCCGUUCAGAGUCACCAGGAUCAUUAGUCCGGUGGCGGUCCGGCUCAAGCUUCCUCCGGCGUAUAGGAGAAUUCAUCCUACCUUUCAUGUGUCUAAAAUAAAACCUGUGUUUCAGGCACGCAUUAACCCGCCGGUCCCGGUUCCCCCGCCGCCACGACUUGUUGAUGGGGAAACCACCUUUUCUGUCAAUCGUAUUUUGGACUCUAGAAGGAGGGGACGCGGAUUCCAGUACCUGGAGGACUGGGAGGGUUACGGCCCGGAGGAGAGAAGUUGGGUACCUGCUAGGGACAUUCUGGAUCACUCCCUUAUCGAUGAUUUCAAUCGACAGUGUUUGUGUGGGCGUGGUUUCCCAAUCUCGGCCUGAUUGUCUGCGCCAGCUGGAACCACUUAUCUUCCCUUUAUAUGUUCUGUUACCAGUGUUUCUUGUUGUCAGAUCGUUGUUUCUUCUCUGAGGUUGUGUCGUGUGUCCGUGCUCUUCUCUUGUGUGGAUUCUCUGCUGUGCUCCUUCCUACUCAUCCGGACACACUCCCCUGGUUUUCUCAGCACGUUAUGAUCGGAAGAUGCGCCCGAGUUCCUGGGUCGGAUUCCUUCUGAGUACAGUCUGUUUGUCAUGUUGCUGCUGUGAACUACAUUCAUUAAAACCAUCGUUGCUUGCAUCUUG